GAUGAACGCUGGCGGCGUGCCUAAUACAUGCAAGUCGAACGAAACUUCUUUAUCACCGAGUGCUUGCACUCACCGAUAAAGAGUUGAGUGGCGAACGGGUGAGUAACACGUGUGCAACCUGCCCAAAAGAGGGGGAUAACACUUGGAAACAGGUGCUAAUACCGCAUAACCAUAGUUACCUCAUGGUAACUAUGUAAAAGGUGGCUAUACUACCGCUUUUGGAUGGGCCCACGGCGCAUUAGCUAGUUGGUAGGGUAAAGGCUUACCAAGGCAAUGAUGCGUAGCCGAAUUGAGAGGUUGAUCGGCCACAUUGGGACUGAGACACGGCCCAAACUCCUACGGGAGGCAGCAGUAGGGAAUCUUCCACAAUGGGCGAAAGCCUGAUGGAGCAACGCCGCGUGGGUGAAGAAGGUCUUCGGUUCGUAAAACCCCGUUGUUAGAGAAGAAAGUGCGUGAGAGUAACUGUUCACGUUUCGACGGUAUCUAACCGGAAAGCCACGGCUAACUACGUG
rnacentral:rRNA from 1 species